ACCUGGAGUUGGAGGCCUGGUCUGGUGUUAAUCUUGUUGGGGGUCGUUUGUGUGGCAGCCAAGUCCCGGGCGACCUCUAUGGCUUCAGCAACCAAGCCGUGGUCAGAUUCCACUCCGACUCCUCCGUCGUUGACCGCGGCUUUGUCCUCCACUUCGAGUCCCUCUUCUACCCACCUCUACCCAACUGCAAUGGAACAUACGAGUUGAACGGCACCUCUGGCUACAUCAGACCGACCUUCAACGGCACUUACGACAACGGCAUGGACUGCGAGUGGAGGUGACGCCGGAGAAUUCCGUGAUCCACUUCCCUCUUCGAGAACUUCGACCUGGAGGACUCCCAAGCUGCGAC